AUGGCAGGUGUGCAAGCCAGUUACUGGGCAAUGCUUGACGAGGGACGGAUAAAUGCAGCUACAGCCAAUAUUUUGAUGCGAUCAGUUGAUGAAGCUAUGUAUCUUGUUUCUAGCCGACCAUUAUGCGAUUGGAACAAUUUGCAGUCCAAUGUCCAUUUCCCAAGUUACUACAGGUUCCUUUCUGCAAGCAUGUUACCACGAAGUUUUAUCACAUACUUCACAGUACAAAGAUUGGAGUCAGGAUGUUACAUCUGUCCUGCAUUUCUUCGUGCUAAUAGAAUUGCAAGGAGAUUUUACCAAGAUUUUCUUGGUAAAAUCUUGGAAAACUUUUAG
rnacentral:rRNA from 1 species